GGGGAAUAUUGGACAAUGGGGGCAACCCUGAUCCAGCCAUGCCGCGUGAAUGAUGAAGGCCUUCGGGUUGUAAAGUUCUUUUGGUAGGGACGAUGAUGACGGUACCUACAGAAUAAGCUCCGGCUAACUUCGUGCCAGCAGCCGCGGUAAUACGAAGGGAGCUAGCGUUGUUCGGAAUUACUGGGCGUAAAGGGCGCGUAGGCGGUUCGAUUAGUCAGAUGUGAAAGCCCUGGGCUCAACCCGGGAACUGCGUUUGAUACUGUCGAGCUUGAAUUUGGUAGAGGUAAGUGGAAUUCCCAGUGUAGAGGUGAAAUUCGUAGAGAUUGGGAAGAACAUCCGUGGCGAAGGCGGCUUACUGGACCAACAUUGACGCUGAGGCGCGAAAGCGUGGGGAGCAAAC
rnacentral:rRNA from 1 species